GGGUGAGUAACACGUGGAUAACCUACCUAUAAGACUGGGAUAACUUCGGGAAACCGGAGCUAAUACCGGAUAAUAUUUUGAACCGCAUGGUUCAAAAGUGAAAGACGGUCUUGCUGUCACUUAUAGAUGGAUCCGCGCUGCAUUAGCUAGUUGGUAAGGUAACGGCUUACCAAGGCAACGAUGCAUAGCCGACCUGAGAGAGUGAUCGGCCACACUGGAACUGAGACACGGUCCAG
rnacentral:rRNA from 1 species